rnacentral:rRNA from 1 species
GAUGAACGCUGGCGGCGUGCCUAAUACAUGCAAGUCGAGCGAACAGACGAGGAGCUUGCUCCUCUGACGUUAGCGGCGGACGGGUGAGUAACACGUGGAUAACCUACCUAUAAGACUGGGAUAACUUCGGGAAACCGGAGCUAAUACCGGAUAAUAUAUUGAACCGCAUGGUUCAAUAGUGAAAGACGGUUUUGCUGUCACUUGUAGAUGGAUCCGCGCCGCAUUAGCUAGUUGGUAAGGUAACGGCUUACCAAGGCAACGAUGCGUAGCCGACCUGGGAGGUGGACCGGCCACCGUGGGACUGCGGUACGGACCAGAAGGCUAUGGGCGGCAGUAGUGGGGAAUAUUGCACAAUGGGCGGACGCCUGACAUAAAAACGUCGCGUGCGGGAUGACGGCUUUAGGGUUGUAAACCACUUUCGCAUGUAAAGAAGCGUGAGUGACGGUAAUGGGUAAAGAAGCACCGGCUAACUACGUG